ACGAACGCUGGCGGCGUGCUUAACACAUGCAAGUCGAACGGAAAGGCCCUGCUUUUGUGGGGAGCUCGAGUGGCGAACGGGUGGGUAACACGUGAGUAACCUGCCCUUGACUUUGGGAUAACUUCAUGAAACUGGGGCUAAUACCGGAUAGGAGCUCCCGCUGCAUGGUGGGGGUUGGAAAGUUUCGGCGGUUGGGGAUGGACUCGCGGCUUAUCAGCUUGUUGGUGGGGUAGUGGCUUACCAAGGCUUUGACGGGUAGCCGGCCUGAGAGGGUGACCGGCCACAUUGGGACUGAGAUACGGCCCAGACUCCUACGGGAGGCAGCAGUGGGGAAUAUUGCACAAUGGGCGGAAGCCUGAUGCAGCAACGCCGCGUGCGGGAUGACGGCCUUCGGGUUGUAAACCGCUUUCGCCUGUGACGAAGCGUGAGUGACGGUAAUGGGUAAAGAAGCACCGGCUAACUACGUG
rnacentral:rRNA from 1 species